ACGAAGCAUUUCUCACGAUCCCUUCGGGGUGACGAGUUAUUGACUGAGUGGCGGACGGGUGAGUAACGCGUGGGUAACCUACCUUGUACAGGGGGACAACAGUUGGAAACGACUGCUAAUACCGCAUAAGCGCACAGCAUCGCAUGAUGCAGUGUGAAAAGUUUUUUCGGUACAAGAUGGACCCGCGUCUGAUUAGCUAGUUGGUGAGGUAACGGCCCACCAAGGCGACGAUCAGUAGCCGACCUGAGAGGGUGACCGGCCACAUUGGGACUGAGACACGGCCCAAACUCCUACGGGAGGCAGCAGUGGGGAAUAUUGCACAAUGGGCGCAAGCCUGAUGCAGCGACGCCGCGUGAGCGAAGAAGUAUUUCGGUAUGUAAAGCUCUAUCAGCAGGGAAGAUAAUGACGGUACCUGACUAAGAAGCACCGGCUAAAUACGUGCCAGCAGCCGCGGUAAUACGUAUGGUGCAAGCGUUAUCCGGAUUUACUGGGUGUAAAGGGAGCGUAGCCGGUUUUACAAGUCUGAUGUGAAAGCCCGGGGCUCAACUCCGGUAUUGCAUUGGAAACUGUAGAACUAGAGUGUCGGAGGGGUAAGUGGAAUUCCUAGUGUAGCGGUGAAAUGCGUAGAUAUUAGGAGGAACACCAGUGGCGAAGGCGGCUUACUGGACGAUUACUGACGCUGAGCUCGAAAGCGUGGGGAGCAAACAGGAUUAGAUACCCUGGUAGUCCACGCCGUAAACGAUG
rnacentral:rRNA from 1 species